rnacentral:rRNA from 1 species
AAAAUGCCUCAGUUAACGGCGAGUGAAGCGGCAAAGCUCAAAUUUGAAUCUAGUACCUUCGGUGCUCGCAGUUGUAAUUUGAAGGUAGUUUUCUGGUGCUGGCCCUUGUCUAUGUUCCUUGGAACAGGACGUCAUAGAGGGUGAGAAUCCCGUCUGAUGGGGUGUCCAGUGCUUUGUAGAUUUCUACCGAAGAGUCGAGUUGUUUGGGAAUGCAGCUCUAAGUGGGUGGUAAAUU